CCACGCCUUAUAUUCAAGCGUGGUGAUGUAAUCGGCCUCUCUCGUCCUUUCCUGCGCAGCGUGAACGUUGGAUAGUGGGUUCCCCGUUCAGCUAAAUCCUUAAACAUCUGCUAAAAUGGCAGACCAGUCUCGUGAAAUCAUCAUUGCAAGACUGUACUCAGACAGACCAUCGGCCUAUGGAUGAAUCCCAUACUUAAGAUGAACAAAAUUCAAGAUGCUGUGCUGGGGUUAAAGUUGGACCCUUAAUAGCUGUACCAGGCCUUCCAUCAUAUCAUUGAGAAUUUCAACGUCAUUAUGGAUAAGAUGAGACACAUGGUCAACAUCAUGAUUGACCUGUCAUCUGUACCACUGGCUUUGCACAGAUGGACCGUCACCCUGAAACCGUUUGCAGAGAUGUUUGUGAAGAGGUGUGCUGCCAAGGUGGAGGAUGGAUGACGUGAUGAGAAAGUGGAGUUUUGGAGAGAUUGGAUGAUGCAUUGUAAAUUCUGCAACCUGUGUUUAAGGUGUUUGAUGCUAUGAACUUUGAAGACGACACUGCUAAAGCUUCAAUAGUGCAUUUUAAACACUGGUGCAAAGAAGUGCAGCUCUGUUUAUAUUUAUAUCUAUAUAGAGGGUAUGCACUGACGUCACUUUUCCACGUGACCAUGCCGGAGCUCGUCCUGUUGAGUGGCAGAAGAUUUAGCAAAAUGGCUAGCUGUUCUAGCGUCAGUAUAACUGACAAUUAUCAGCAAACAUUAAAUUGAGUUGGACUUGAUAGUGACCCUAGCAACUUGUCAACCCACCAGUGGAUGUUGGCAUGGAUGAUUCAUUUACUUCUCCUUUCUGUGUUUUCUUUUUUAGCAGCCUGUAAAAUGAUAGCUCCGAAUUUUUGUUAAAUCUGUUAGUACAGUCAAUCGCACAACAUCUUUUUACCAUUUCGACGCGUUUUCCCCUUGUUGUUGCUGAUUUCACACCGUACACACAUUCUUUUGCCACUCAGUGGGCAUAACCGCAGUCACUUUUGCCGAAGGGGGCGUCACAUGCAUACCCUCUACAGUUUAUGUGCUGUGUACAUAUCUUGUAUACUAUGGGAUGCAGCUAUUCUGUACUAGUAUAUAUCUAUACUGCAAUCUUUGUUAAACAAGUGGUAAGGUUUGUCAAAAUGUAUGAAUAAACCAGUCAUGAUCAACAAUA